AGCUCCAAUAGCGUAUAUUAAAGUUGUUGCGGUUAAAAAGCUCGUAGUUGGAUUUCUGUCUGGGGGGACCGGUCCACUUUCUGAGUGAGUACAUGGUCGGCUCUGGGCAUCCUCCUGGGGAUCGUACUACACUUGAUUGUGUGGUGCGGGAUCUAGGACUUUUACUUUGAGGAAAUUAGAGUGUUCACUGCAGGCAUACGCCUUGAAUAUAUUAGCAUGGAAUAAUAAGAUAGGACCUUAGUUCUAUUUUUUCGGUUUCUAGAGCUGAGGUAAUGAUUAACAGGGAUAGUUGGGGGCAUUCGUAUUUAACUGUCAGAGGUGAAAUUCUUGGAUUUGUUAAAGACGAACUACUGCGAAAGCAUUUGCCAAGGAUGUUUUCA
rnacentral:rRNA from 1 species